rnacentral:rRNA from 1 species
GUCUGUGUGAAGUUACACAGAGUCUGACCUGCCCAUUGAAAAAAUUAAAAGGCCGCGGUAUAUUAACUGUGCAAAGGUAGCAUAAUCAUUAGCUUUUUAAUUGAAGGCUUGUAUGAAGGGUCUGACAAAGAAAAAACUGUCUUUAUUUUUGGUUUUGAAGUUAACUUUUAAGUGAAAAGGCUUAAAUAUAUUAAAGGGACGAUAAGACCCUAUAAAUCUUUAUACUAGAUUAUUUUUUUAUUUAUUAAUAUGAAGUCAAAGGUUAAUAAAUAAAAUAGUGUGUAUUUUGUUGGGGUGACAAGAAUAUAGAGUUAACUGUUCUUAGGAAAAACAAAGUUGUUUGAAAAAUUAGUAGAUCCUUUAUAGAGAUUAAAAGUUUAAGUUACUUUAGGGAUAACAGCGUUAUUUUUUUUGAGAGUUCUUAUCGAAAGAAAAGUUUGCGACCUCGAUGUUGAAUUAAGAAUUCUCUGCGGUGUAGAAGUUGCAGAAGGAAAGUCUGUUCGACUUUU